rnacentral:rRNA from 1 species
GACGAACCGUGCGAACGUUGUUCGGAAUCACUGGGCUUAAAGGGCGCGUAGGCGGGCUGUCAAGUCCGGGGUGAAAUCCUCCAGCUCAACUGGAGAAUGGCCUCGGAUACUGAUGGUCUCGAGGAGGAUAGGGGGCACGCGGAACUGUGGGUGGAGCGGUGAAAUGCGUUGAUAUCCAUAGGAACUCCGGUGGCGAAAGCGGUGUGCUGGAUCCUUUCUGACGCUGAUGCGCGAAAGCCAGGGGAGCAAACGGG